GCCUGGGGCUGGCCGUGGCUAUCCUGAACACAUUUGAUCUCCAAAGUUAAGCAAGGUCAGGCCUCGUUAGUAUUUGGAUGGGAGACUGCCUGGGAAUACCGGGUGCUGUAGGCU
rnacentral:rRNA from 1 species